rnacentral:rRNA from 1 species
GCCGAACCGUGCGAACGUUGUUCGGAAUCACUGGGCUUAAAGGGCGCGUAGGCGGGCGUCCAAGUCAGGGGUGAAAUCUUUCGGCCUAACCGGAAAAGUGCCCCUGAUACUGGACAUAUCGAGGGAGGUAGGGGCGUGUGGAGCUUUCGGUGGAGCGGUGAAAUGCGUAGAUAUCGGGAGGAACGCCGGUGGCGAAAGCGACGCGCUGGACCUCUUCUGACGCUGAGGCGCGAAAGCCAGGGGAGAAAACGGU